CCUACGGGUGGCAGCAGUGAGGAAUAUUGGUCAAUGGGCGGAAGCCUGAACCAGCCAAGUAGCGUGCAGGAUGACGGCCCUAUGGGUUGUAAACUUCUUUUAUAUGGGAAUAAAAUGUUCCACGUGUGGGAUUUUGUAUGUACCAUAUGAAUAAGGAUCGGCUAACUCCGUGCCAGCAGCCGCGGUAAUACGGAGGAUCCGAGCGUUAUCCGGAUUUAUUGGGUUUAAAGGGAGCGUAGGUGGAUUGUUAAGUCAGUUGUGAAAGUUUGCGGCUCAACCGUAAAAUUGCAGUUGAAACUGGCAGUCUUGAGUACAGUAGAGGUGGGCGGAAUUCGUGGUGUAGCGGUGAAAUGCUUAGAUAUCACGAAGAACUCCGAUUGCGAAGGCAGCUCACUGGACUGCAACUGACACUGAGGCUCGAAAGUGUGGGUAUCAAACAGGAUUAGAUACCCCAGUAGUC
rnacentral:rRNA from 1 species